rnacentral:lncRNA from 1 species
ACUACUCUCAAAACAGCCACAACUCCACUCCAUCUUCUUUCUCUCUCUUCUCUUCCUCAUCUCUAAAAAUAAGCAAGCCACCAGUCACCACAACCGUCACUAGCCGGUGGGAGUUCUACCAAUAAAAACUCCAAAUCAGUUCACCAUCGUCAACCAAACCUCUACCAACACCGCCUUCAAUGGCCAAAAAAUUCCCUUGGUUUCUUUAUUCUCUCAGUGAUGGGCACCGCCGGCGAGCCCAAGGCAGUGAACCUAUCUCUGGUCACCACCACCAGACAACAACAGCCUCCAAG